rnacentral:rRNA from 1 species
UACAGAGGGUGCAAGCGUUAAUCGGAAUUACUGGGCGUAAAGGGUGCGUAGGUGGUUUCUUAAGUCAGAUGUGAAAGCCCCGGGCUCAACCUGGGAAUUGCAUUUGAUACUGAGUAACUUGAGUAUGGUAGAGGGAAGUGGAAUUUCCAGUGUAGCGGUGAAAUGCGUAGAUAUUGGAAGGAACAUCAGUGGCGAAGGCGACUUCCUGGACCAUUACUGACACUGAGGCACGAAAGCGUGGGGAGCGAAC